CCUCCUUCCCAAAUCCCACUGCCCUCCUUCCCCAAGCGAGCGCCGGCGAAUCUCCUCCUUUCCCAAUCGAGCACCGGCGAGGGAAUCGAGCGCCGGCGAAAUCCCCUCCUUCCCCAAGAGAGCGCCAGUGAAUCCCCUCCUUCCCUAAGCAAGCGCGGCGAAAUCCCCUCCUUCCCCAAGCGAACACCGGCGAAAUCACUGCAUAAUUUGAAGUUCAUCAUCCGACUCCUAGCAUCAAGUCAUUUUGGAUCUGAAAAACAAAUUACAGCUUUGCUAUUGUUUGUGAAUUUUAGGCAGUUGCCAACAUUCUAUUUGUGUCGGAAUACAAUGCUCUGCAUGAAUAUGAAGAUCAUAUGUUUGAUGGAAUGAAAUCAUGUUAUAGGCAAGCUUGAUGAACGAGGAACUGAUUUUUUCUUUAA